CAAAAAAGCUCAUAAACACAGUACCUAAAUUUUAUUAAAAAUCUCAAAUGUGUUUAAAUAACUUUGUUGGAGUAAGCACUUCAAAAGCGACUAGCCGAAAGAUCAAUGAAUAGUAGACAUAUGUUUAGCUAAGUUAGUUUGAAUAGCGUACUCCACUUUUUCCAUUUAAGUUUGAAUUCUUCUUCUCAGAAUUUUAAUGAAUUUAUUAUAAUCAUUCUAUAAUAAAAAGAAAGUAAAAAUAAUGAAAAAAAUUUGAAAAUUUUAAGUUUUAACGAUAAGGACAAAAUAAAGGGUAAAGUGAAUAGUAACAUGAUUGAUUUUUUAUUGUAAAAAUAUGAUUUUUCGUUAAAGUAAACAGUACCAAGAGUUUUUCAUUAAAGUUCUUAAAAAAAAUCAACCAAUAAACUCUGUUUAGGCAAAUAAGAGGGUCCUUUAGGCCCCAUCCUUUUGGAUUAACAUCUUGCAGCUAUUGGCGAGACUUGGCCCACAAAACCAGACUGAACAAAGACAAAAUAUCACAUGACUAUUCCAAUCAAGUUGGAGGCCAUAGAAAAUAUAGCCCAAAGCUCAGGUCAGUGCCCAAAAAUAGGCAGCGAAACUUCCAAACUUGAAUCCCUCAAACACUCGUUGAGAUGGCAGGGACCAAAUUUUGGGGAUAUUAACUAAAGAAGUGAGUCGAAAGCUGAGAAUUUGCAACACUUCGACUCAUGAGAAUUUUACGAUUACAUAUAUUUAUAGUGAAUUUGAUACCUAUUUAUAGUUGACCUGUUAUGAUGACAUAACUAAAGUAUCGUUCUACUUGUCCAAACACAAACGAACAACAAAGAGAGUGGUCAGCCGCCUAGCCUAGGCAGGACCUACGCAGCGUUAGGUUGAAAAUUUUAAAACAGUAAUUUGAGAAUUUUACGAUUACAUAUUUUUGUAGUGAAUUUGAUACCUAAUUAUAGUUGGCCUGUUAUGAUGACAUAACUAAAGUAUUUCGUUCUAUAGCUUGUCUGAACACAAACGAACAACAAAGAGAGUGGUCAGCCACCUAGCCUAGGCGGGACCUACGUAAAGCUAGGUUGAAAUUUUUAAAACAGUAAUUUGUAGUGAAUUUAAUACCUAAUUGUGGUUGACCUGUUGUGGGAACGCAACUGAAAUAUCUUGUUCUAUAGCUUGUCCAAACACAAAUAAACAACAAAGAGAGUAGCCCUAGUCCUAAUCCUUUUACGUCCCACUCCUAUCAUGUUGGCUAGUUUUCAAUAAUUUCUUUGCCAUAUAUUGCCACCCAUGAUAUAAUACAAAAGAGUAUAGAAUGAAGACUCCCAUCACAAUGUUGUUAACAAAGUCGCAUUCAAAUUAUUUAAUAUCUUAAUAAUUCAUUGUUUCUUUUUCGUACAUUAUAAUAUAAUAUGAACGCGACAGCUGCGCUAAGUAUGAAUCUUUAAGUUUUAAACCAAGUUACAUUUUGUCACAUACGUUAGGCUAUGUGUGACAAAUUUGUUAAUAACUUUAAAUACAGUGUUAAUGUCAAAGAGUAAUAAUAUUAUACUCAAGAGAAUUCCAGAAGAAAAUUUUAUACAGCGGGGGUCGGUCUAGUUGGUAUAAUACAUCAUUGUGAAUUAAUUAAUUUAGUUUUAUUUGUAGUAUUUUAUCACGUUGGAGUAAAAACUAAAGCAACAAUUCAACGUGUUUGUAUGGUGGUUGCCUUGGUCCAUUUUGGCAAGCUAGAUGUGAAAAACUUUCACGCACUUGUUGAAUGAAAAUGGUGUUUUAUGUUUAGGUUUUUUAAUUAAAAUCAUUUAUGAGAUUGACAUAACUCUCUACAUUGGUCUCUGAGAUUUAAAAUCGAUAAAACUAGUCCCUAAAUUUGUCUACCAUUAAUCAUUUUGGGUUUUCCGUGAAAAAUCUUCGAUAAACAAGGUAUAAUGACAAAAGUACCCUCAAUUUUUAUCUAUCAUUUUGACCCAUUGUUUAUUAUAUUGAGGGUAUUUUUAUCAUUGAUCUUAUUUAACAAUUUUUUUUUUACAGAAUGACCAAAAUGAUUAAUAGUAAACUAACUCAAAGAUCACUUCUACUGAUUUGAAAAUCUCAGAAACCAUUUUAUAUAUAUAAAAAAAAACCCUAUAUUUAUUAUCACUUCUUAUUUCUAUGAAGUUUGUUUUAUAAGCC
rnacentral:lncRNA from 1 species